AUGAACGCUAGCUACAGGCUUAACACAUGCAAGUCGAGGGGCAGCAUCAUCAAAGCUUGCUUUGAUGGAUGGCGACCGGCGCACGGGUGAGUAACACGUAUCCAACCUGCCGACAACACUGGGAUAGCCUUUCGAAAGAAAGAUUAAUACCGGAUGGCAUAGUUUUCCCGCAUGGGAUAAUUAUUAAAGAAUUUCGGUUGUCGAUGGGGAUGCGUUCCAUUAGGCAGUUGGCGGGGUAACGGCCCACCAAACCUACGAUGGAUAGGGGUUCUGAGAGGAAGGUCCCCCACAUUGGAACUGAGACACGGUCCAAACUCCUACGGGAGGCAGCAGUGAGGAAUAUUGGUCAAUGGACGAGAGUCUGAACCAGCCAAGUAGCGUGAAGGAUGACUGCCCUAUGGGUUGUAAACUUCUUUUAUACGGGAAUAAAGUUAGCCACGUGUGGCUUUUUGUAUGUACCGUAUGAAUAAGGAUCGGCUAACUCCGUGCCAGCAGCCGCGGUAAUACGGAGGAUCCGAGCGUUAUCCGGAUUUAUUGGGUUUAAAGGGAGCGUAGGCGGGUUGUUAAGUCAGUUGUGAAAGUUUGCGGCUCAACCGUAAAAUUGCAGUUGAUACUGGCGACCUUGAGUGCAACAGAGGUAGGCGGAAUUCGUGGUGUAGCGGUGAAAUGCUUAGAUAUCACGAAGAACUCCGAUUGCGAAGGCAGCUUACUGGAUUGUAACUGACGCUGAUGCUCGAAAGUGUGGGUAUCAAACAGGAUUAGAUACCCUGGUAGUCCACACAGUAAACGAUGAAUACUCGCUGUUGGCGAUAUACAGUCAGCGGCCAAGCGAAAGCAUUAAGUAUUCCACCUGGGGAGUACGCCGGCAACGGUGAAACUCAAAGGAAUUGACGGGGGCCCGCACAAGCGGAGGAACAUGUGGUUUAAUUCGAUGAUACGCGAGGAACCUUACCCGGGCUUAAAUUGCAACUGACUGAACCGGAAACGGUUCUUUCUUCGGACAGUUGUGAAGGUGCUGCAUGGUUGUCGUCAGCUCGUGCCGUGAGGUGUCGGCUUAAGUGCCAUAACGAGCGCAACCCUUACGGGUAGUUACCAUCAGGUUAUGCUGGGGACUCUACCCGGACUGCCGUCGUAAGAUGUGAGGAAGGUGGGGAUGACGUCAAAUCAGCACGGCCCUUACGUCCGGGGCUACACACGUGUUACAAUGGGGGGUACAGAAGGCAGCUACACGGCGACGUGGUGCUAAUCCCGAAAGCCUCUCUCAGUUCGGAUUGGAGUCUGCAACCCGACUCCAUGAAGCUGGAUUCGCUAGUAAUCGCGCAUCAGCCACGGCGCGGUGAAUACGUUCCCGGGCCUUGUACACACCGCCCGUCAAGCCAUGGGAGCCGGGGGUACCUGAAGUGCGUAACCGCGAGGAGCGCCCUAGGGUAAAACUGGUGACUGGGGCU
rnacentral:rRNA from 1 species